AUGCACUCCCCCCACCCACAAUUCCUGCCGGCCCGAGACUCGAACUCACAACCCUUCGAUUGGGAGUCCGACUCUCUAACCAUUAGGCCACGACUCCCCGACUCUUGUAAUGCUUUAUUGGGUGGUUGUUCUGCACGCUUAAUAAACAAACUCCAGCUGGUUCAAAAUGCAGCAGCUAGAGUUCUUACUAGAACCAGGAAGUAUGACCAAAUUUGCCUGAUUCUGUCAACACUGCAUUGGCUCCCUAUUAAACAUCAUAUACAGUACAGGUCAAAAGUUUGGAAACAUUACUAUUUUUAGCAUUACAAUAGUCUAACCUUGAGGUCAUAAACGCAUGGAUUAACAUUUCUGCAUUUGACACUGAGAGCAUCGGCCGUAAUUUAGAUAUAUUUUUUGAGAUGGAAAAAUGCAGUUUUACAAAUGCUAGAAACGUGGCUUUCUAAGGAAAGGUUGCUAUCAAAUAGCACACCUAGGUUCCUAACUGAUGAUGAAGAAUUGACAGAGCAGCCAUCAAGGCUUAGACAGCGUUCUAGGUCAUUACAUGCAGAGCUUUUAGGCCCUAUAAUUAACACCUCUGUUUUUUCAGAAUUUAGCAGUAAGAAAUUACUCGUCAUCCAGUUUUUUAUAUCGACUAUGCAUUCCGUUAGUUUUUCAAAUUGGUAUGUUUCGCCAGGCCGCGAUGAAAUAUAGAGCUGAGUAUCAUCAGCAUAACAGUGAAAGCUAACACCGUGUUUCCUGAUGAUAUCUCCCAAGGGUAACAUGUAAAACGUAAAGAGUAAAGGCCCUAGUACUGAGCCUUGCGGUACUCCAUACUGCACUUGUGAACGAUAUGAUACCUCUUCAUUCACUGCUACGAAUUGAUGGCGGUCAUAUAAGUAUGAUUUAAACCAUGCUAAUGCACUUCCAUUAAUGCCAACAAAGUGUUCUAGUAUAUGCAAAAGAAUAGUGUGGUCAAUAGUGUCGAACGCAGCACUAAGAUCCAAUAGCACUAAUAGAGAGAUACAACCACGAUCAGAUGAUAAGAGCAGGUCAUUUGUAACUCUAAGGAGAGCAGUCUCAGUACUAUGAUACGGUCUAAAUCCUGACUGGAAAUCCUCACAGAUGCCAUUUUUCUCUAAGAUGGAAUAUAAUUGUGAGGAUACUACCUUUUCUAGUAUCUUUGAAAGAAAAGGGAGAUUUGAGAUCGGUCUAUAAUUAACUAGUUCUUUGGGGUCAAGUUGUGGUUUUUUGAUGAGAGGCUUAAUAACAGCCAGUUUGAAGGAUUUUGGGACAUACCCUAAUAACAAUGAGGAAUUAAUAAUAGUCAGAAGAGGAUCUAUGACUUCUGGAAGCACCUCUUUUAGGAGCUUAGAUGGAAUAGGGUCUAACAUACAUGUUGUUGGUUUAGAUGAUUUAACAAGUUUAUACAAUUCUUCCUCUCCUAUAGUAGAGAAUGAGUGGAACUGUUCCUCAGGGGAUCUAUAGUGCACUGUCUGAUGUGAUACUGUAGCUGAUGGCUGCAUGGUUACAAUUUUAUCUCUAAUAGUAUCGACUUUAGAAGUAAAGUAGUUCAUAAAGUCAUUACUGCUGUGAUGUUGAGAAAUGUCAACACUUGUUGAUGCUUUAUUUUUCGUUAAUUUAGCCACUGUAUUGAAUAAAUACCUGGGGUUAUGUUUGUUUUUCUUCUAAAAGAGACGAAAAAGUAAUCAGAUUUAGCAGUUUUUUUAAUGCUUUUUCUGUAAGAUAGGUUACUUUUCCUCCAAGCAAUAAGAAAUACUUCUAGUUUUGUUUUCCUCCAGCUGCGCUCCAUUUUCCGGGCUGCUCUCUUUAGGGUGCGAGUGUGCUCAUUACACCACGGUGUCAGACUGUUUUCCUUAACCUUCCUUAAGCGUAAAGGAGCAACUGUAUUUAAAAUGCUAGAAAAGAGAGAGUCCAUAGUUUCUGUUACAUCAUCAAGUUGUUCUGAGGUUUUGGAUAUGCUAAGGAAUUGGGAUACAUCAGGAAGAUUACUUACAAAGCAGUCUUUUGUGGUAGAAGUGAUGGUUCUACCAUACUUGUAACAAGAAGUGGAAUUUACAGUUUUAGCUAUAUGAAGUUUGCACAAAACUAAAUAAUGAUCUGAGAUAUCAUCGCUUGGCUGCAAGUCUGAGGACUUGUGUGUCAUGAUCGAUCUAAAAGAUGCACAUAUCUCCAUCCUUUGUCAUCAUAGGAAGUUCCUGAGGUUUGCUUUUGGGGGCAAAAGCCUACCAAUACUGGUUCUUCCUUUGGCCUUGCACUCUCACCCCACACUUUCACGGCUUAACCACAUCGAUGAUUGGUUGA
ensembl:lncRNA